UGGGUCGUUAGCUCAGUUGGUAGAGCAGUUGACUCUUAAUCAAUUGGUCGCAGGUUCGAACCCUGCACGACCCACCAA
rnacentral:tRNA from 9 species